UGUUGAAUGAAUGAGUGAAUGAGUAGAUGAUGAAGACCAGGUGAAGGGGCUAAUGAGAGGGAGACAUUAUCGAUGUGUAAAACAGUCUGAACAAAAAUGGGGAGGUAGGAAUGAACAUGCUAUUUCAGAGAGAAAAUAAGCCUAGCUGGCCCAGAGGGUAAUGUUGGCAAACAGCAGGAAAUUAACUUCAGUAGACUUACUGGGACUAAAUUGUGGAGUCCCAGGCUCAGGAGUUUGGAAUUCAUCCUGUGGGCGAUGGAGAAGUAUUACAGGCUUUUGAGCAGAUGACUCACAUGGUGUGUGAGUGAUUGUGAGAAGGUUUUUCUGGUGCUGGUCGGUUUGUUAGAUGCAUAAGAAAGAGGUUGGACUAGGGAGGCCACUUAGAAGGUUAUUUCAGCAUUUUGAGGGCACCCAAAUAAGGGCCUGACCUGGCAGUGGGAAUGGCAAUGGGAAGAAGGGAUUGGUACAAUAGGACUGUCUGUGGCAGGAUCCAUGGGUCAUGAUGAGUAACAGAGUGUAGGCGACAAAGCUGAGAGCUGAAUCCAAAGUACCACCAAGGCUUUGCCCUCGAUGGCGAGUAUGAUGGUAAUGAGACUGACUCAAACAGAAAGGUCAGAACAGACCGCAGUGUAUACAGAGACAGUG
rnacentral:lncRNA from 10 species